GACUCCUACGGGAGGCAGCAGUGGGGAAUAUUGCGCAAUGGGCGAAAGCCUGACGCAGCGACGCCGCGUGGAGGAUGAAGGUUUUAGGAUCGUAAACUCCUGUUAAGUGGGAAGAAAGAUUCAUCUCUAAUACAGAUGAAGGAUGACGGUACCGCUAGAGAAAGCACCGGCUAACUUCGUGCCAGCAGCCGCGGUAAUACGAGGGGUGCAAGCGUUAUUCGGAAUCACUGGGCGUAAAGGGUGUGCAGACGGUUUAUUAAGUUGCUUGUUUAAUUCUUCGGCCUAACCGAAGGCUCGCAAGCAAAACUGGUAGACUUGAGGAUGGAAGAGAGAAGUGGAAUUCUCGGAGUAGCGGUAAAAAUGCGUAGAUCUCGAGAGGAACACCAAUGGCGAAGGCAGCUUCUUGGUCCAUUCCUGACGUUCAUACACGAAAGCGUGGGGAGCAAACAGGAUUAGAUACCCUGGUAG
rnacentral:rRNA from 1 species